rnacentral:rRNA from 1 species
AGUGAACGCUGGCGGCGUGCUUAACACAUGCAAGUCGAACGAGAACGGGUUAUAGCUUGCUAUAAUUGUCAGCUAAGUGGCGCACGGGUGAGUAAUGUAUAGGUAAUAUGCCUCUUACUAAGGGAUAACAAAUGGAAACGUUUGCUAAUACCUUAUACUCCUUAUUAACAUAAGUUAAUAAGGGAAAGAUUUAUUGGUAAGGGAUUAGCCUGUAUUGUAUCAGUUAGUUGGUGGGGUAAUGGCUUACCAAGACUAUGACACAUAACUGGUUUGAGAGGAUGAUCAGUCACACUGGAACUGAGACACGGUGCAGACUCCUACGGGAGGCAGCAGUGGGGAAUAUUGCACAAUGGACGAAAGUCUGAUGCAGCAACGCCGCGUGGAGGAUGACACAUUUCGGUGCGUAAACUCCUUUUAUAUGAGAAGAUAAUGACGGUAUUAUAUGAAUAAGCACCGGCUAACUCCGUGCCAGCCGCCGCCGUAA